GAUGAACGCUGGCGGCGUGCUUAACACAUGCAAGUCGAACGAUGAAGCCCAGCUUGCUGGGUGGAUUAGUGGCGAACGGGUGAGUAACACGUGAGUAACCUGCCCUUAACUCUGGGAUAAGCCUGGGAAACUGGGUCUAAUACCGGAUAGGAGCGUCCACCGCAUGGUGGGUGUUGGAAAGAUUUAUCGGUUUUGGAUGGACUCGCGGCCUAUCAGCUUGUUGGUGAGGUAAUGGCUCACCAAGGCGACGACGGGUAGCCGGCCUGAGAGGGUGACCGGCCACACGGGGACUGAGACACGGCCCAGACUCCUACGGGAGGCAGCAGUGGGGAAUAUUGCACAAGGGGCGAAAGCCGGAUGCAGCGACGCCGCGUGAGGGAUGACGGCCUUCGGGUUGUAAACCUCUUUCAGUAGGGAAGAAGCGAAAGUGACGGUACCUGCAGAAGAAGCACCGGCGAACUACGU
rnacentral:rRNA from 1 species